GGUCAGUCAACUCCUACUGAAAGGGAAAAUUUGGCUUUCUCUGCCCAAGACAGAAAUCUUCAUUCUUAGAAGUAGAGAACAAACGUGGUUAGGAAGGAAUCUGAAUAUAAAAAUAGAAGGAGGUGGUAAGAGAGCAAUUUAUUGCUUUUAAAAAAAUGUUUAGUGGUAAUUUUUUUUUUUUACUUUACAGAACAGUUUGAAACUGAAAUGUAGAAAAGUUAUCCACAGUUCCGCCAGCCAGACAUAAGCCUUUAUCAACAAUCGUAUCUCACUCCUUCCACUGCCCUUUAAAUUGCCCAGGCCUGGGCUGGUCAGAAUGGGGCCUCUUUCCUCUUGGUUUUCAUGGUGGAGUGAAGCACAAG
rnacentral:lncRNA from 1 species